rnacentral:misc_RNA from 1 species
UUUCUAAGGAUGAUCAAGAAUUGGAACUCUUUAUCAAUAAAGAAUAUUCCUUUUUGAUCUCAUUAGACAUACAGGUCUUAAACAAUUUCGUUUAAGCCUUUGCAUAUGACACCACUCUUUAUGAACCCCUUCUUCAAAGAGAGGUUCCUCUUUGAUAAAAAGAGAUAGCCAACUUGAUGAGAAAGUUCUCCUAAGAGCCAAGUGUUCAUAUGUUUAAGUUAUACAAGCAGGCUAGCCGUCUUCGUUUCUCUUUCUUCAGAUGAUGAUCCCAAGCCUUCUGGCGAUCUCUUAAGUAUUAAGGUUCCCUCAUUUUUAAAGGGUGCUUUAAGGAAAAGAGCUCUAAAAAGCUUUUGUGUUAAGAGUAUGCCGGGGAAGGUUUUCCGGUUUAUCCCGGAGGGCUUGUAGCUCAGUUGGUUAGAGCGCGCGCUUGAUAAGCGUGAGGUCGGAGGUUCAAGUCCUCCCAGGCCCACCAAUCACUCUAUCAAUUUCAUAAAGCGCUGGCGGACUUACUUAUAGGCAAGAAGUCUAUAAACCGAUAAAGCCUAUAAAUUUGUAAGAAACUUACAUAACUUUCUGGGAAAGGGCCUUAAGUGCACUUGUAAAAGGACUGAAGAGUGAUGUGAUCACUUAAAAUGAGGUUACUCUUUGAGAGGUACGUAGAGAAAAGACAUUUGUUUUGGCAAGGUGUUUACAAAGGGCAUUAAGAGAGGAGCUUUACUGUUUGCUUUCAGCAAUUGAGAGUCAAAGCUCUUUAAAGGUAAAGUAUCCCAUUUAAAUUGGUCUUUCCUGUAAGUCUUCUUAUUUUGAGAGUUUGGAAUGGGUUAUGCUAUUUUAGGGGCCGUAGCUCAGCUGGGAGAGCACCUGCUUUGCAAGCAGGGGGUCGUCGGUUCGAUCCCGUCCGGCU